UAAGGGCGCACGGUGGAUGCCUUGGCACUAGAAGCCGAUGAAGGACGUUACUAACGACGAUAUGCUUUGGGGAGCUGUAAGUAAGCUUUGAUCCAGAGAUUUCCGAAUGGGGAAACCCAGCAUGAGUUAUGUCAUGUUAUCGAUAUGUGAAUACAUAGCAUAUCAGAAGGCACACCCGGAGAACUGAAACAUCUUAGUACCCGGAGGAAGAGAAAGAAAAUUCGAUUCCCUUAGUAGCGGCGAGCGAAACGGGAAGAGCCCAAACCAACAAGCUUGCUUGUUGGGGUUGUAGGACACUCUAUACGGAGUUACAAAGGACGACAUUAGACGAAUCAUCUGGAAAGAUGAAUCAAAGAAGGUAAUAA
rnacentral:rRNA from 1 species